CUGUAAACACCCCUGGAAGCUAGUUGGUAAGCUGGAGGUGAGAACACAAAAUCACAAGUGGGUAAAAUUCAUGUCAUGCAGUAAACAGACCAUUCUUACUGUGGCUGUAACAUAAAUCAGGUGUAAAGGUACCAAACCUGAAAGGAUGAAACUCUGUUCUACCCACCACUGCAAAAGCUUAUGCUAUUGAAGAACAGGAGACCGUAAAAAUAAAAUUUUAAAAAAGAUGUUGAAUAUAAUAUGCUCAGUAAACAAAACAUGAAGACCUGACUGUGGCAUCCAUCGUCUCAAGCUGGAUGACUGGGCCAGAAACUCACUGUGGUAUAUGUGACACGGACAUAAAGGUAAACAAGUCUCUAAAGUUAGAAGAGAAAUGAUAGAAAAGAACUGUUCUCUGUUCAAAAUUGCACUGAAUGGUCUGUAUUUUUCUGGCAAGAUGAUGCUGGUCUGAAGAAUAAUGAGCCCAUUUGCUUUUCUGAUGUUGCUUGCCAGGGAAAAGUAAAUCUCACUCUCUUGCUUUGCAGUUUACUUUGUGUUAGUUUGACAGGAUCUUUAAAGAAAUUAAAUGGAAAAUAAUUGAAUCCUCAUAUAAGGCUUUAUUGUCUCAGGGGAAAGAAAAGUUUUGCAUAACACAGCCUUACCUGAAAAUCAUUAAUUGCAGCUUAAAAAAGUUUUGAAAUGAACAAAACGGGUUUUUUUGGUUUUUGGUUUUUUUUU
ensembl:lncRNA